rnacentral:ncRNA from 1 species
AAUAAUGCAAUGAAGUAACGCAGUAGAGUCUUAGGCACUAGUCAAGAGAGCUGAUGGUUGCUGGAAAUCAGCCUAUCCUAAGAACUUGAAUUACAUUAUGGAGCAAGAUUCGGUUGAUCCCGUUACAGAUAGUUAAGGUGACUGCAGCAGUGCAGUAAUCUGGGUGGUAACGCGGAAAAUUUCGUCCCUGAU